AGGAGUUACAGGGGUAGUCUAAAAAGGGGUCUGAAGUCAUUCGUGUCCCGAGUGGAGGGUCAGGGGGUCGUGGUCGGCGCGACCUGGAUAAGGAAGCGCCGUGCACUUUGUCACUGCUAACACAUGUGCACGUAUGUGUGUACGUGUGUGUACGUGUGUGUGCAUGCUCGUGCCAGUCUUCAUCGGUGCUCGCUAACAGCACUUGCCCUAAGAGUCUGUUAAGGCUACACGGGGGAUUGUUGUCCGUGUGUGCGCGUGCUCGCAGGUGAAGAGGGCAGUGGACUGCUGGAGCGAGAGGAGGAACUGGCGCCCAGGGAAUCGCCGGAGCGAAGGAGCGCACCGGGGCAGCAGCGCGCGCACCAGGAGCAGGAGGAGGGGCUAAUGGAGCCGUCGCCCUCCCCGUGCUGCCGGGAGGUGGCGCCGGGAGGAGCCGCGGUGGCCGCCGGGCCCCUCCGCUGCUCGGUGGCCGCCGGGCCCCUCCGCUGCUCGGUGGCCGCCGGGCCCCUCCGCUGCUCGGUGGCGGCCGGGCCGGGGCAGGGGGCCAGGCCCGCAGAGUGCGAUGUGGAGGAGGUGCGUGACGUCAUUUAUGGACGGCCCCUUAGCAGGACAAAUGUCGAGGCAACGCUUGGGGCAAUGGCCCUUCUUCAUGGCGCGUUAUUCAUCGACGCUUCGCUACGCGAUCCGACCGGCCGGGCCGUGGCGUCGUCCGGGUCACUCACCUCGCCAGGGUCAACCCGAUGCCGUUGUCCGCGAAUCUGCACGCAUCAACAUCAUCAUCACCACAUUAACACCAUCAUCACCACAUUAACACCAUCAUCAACACCAUCAUCACCACAUUAACACCAUCAUCAACACCAACAUCACCACAUUAACACCAUCAUCACCACAUUAACACCAUCAUCAACACCAUCAUCACCACAUUAACACCAUCAUCAACACCAACAUCACCACAUUAACACCAUCAUCACCACAUUAACACCAUCAUCAACACCAUCAUCACCACAUUAACACCAUCAUCAACACCAUCAUCACCACAUUAACACCAUCAUCACCACAUUAACACUAUCAUCAACACCAACAUCACCACAUUAACACCAUCAACAACACCAUCAUCACCACAUUAACGCCAUCAUCACCACAUUAACACCAUCAUCACCACAUUAACACCAUCAACAUUAUAGCAUUGACACCAUCAUCACCACAUUAACACCAUCAUCACCACAUUAACACCAUCAUCAACACCAUCAUCACCACAUUAAUACCAUCAUCAACACCAUCAUCACCACAUUAACACCAUCAACAUAGCAUUGACACCAUCAUCACCACAUUAACACCAUCAUCAACACCAUCAUCACCACAUAAACACCAUCAUCAACACCAUCAACACCACAUUAACACCAUCAACAUUAUAGCAUUGACACCAUCAUCACCACAUUAACACCAUCAUCAACACCAUCAUCACCACAUCAACAUCAUAGCAUUAACACCAUCAUCACCACAUUAACACCAACAUUAUAGCAUUAACACCAUCAUCACCGCAUCAACAUUAUAGCAUUAACACCAUCAUCACCACAGCAUCAACAUCAUAGCAUCAACACCAUCAUCACAUUAACACCAUCAACAUUAUAGCAUCAACACCAUCAUCACCACAUCAACACCAUCAUCACCACAUUAACAUCAUCAACAUUAUAGCAUCAAUACCAUCAUCACCACAUCAUCACCACAUCAGCAUCAUAGCAUCAACACCAUCAUCACCACAUCAACAUCAUCAUCACGACAUCAACACCAUCAUCACCACAUCAACACCAUCAUCACCACAUUAAAAUAAUCAACAUCAUAGCAUCAACGCCAUCAUCACCACAUCAUAAUCAUCAACAUUAUAGAAUCAACACCAUCAUCAUCCCAUCAACAUCAUCAACAUCAUAGUAUUAACACCAUCAUCACCACAUUAACACCAUCAGCAUCAUAGCAUGAACACCAUCAUCACGUCAUCAACAUCAUAGCAUUAACACCAUCAUUACCACAUCAACAUCAUAGCAUUAACACCAUCAUCACCACAUCAUCACCAACAGCAUCGUCAUCGUCAUCAUCAUCGUCAACAUCAUCGUCAUCACCAGCAUCAUCAUCAUUAUCGUCAACAUCAUCAUCAGCAUCGUGUCAUCAGCAAUGGCAUUUCCUUUAAUUAAAACUCGUGGAGAAUCCCA